rnacentral:rRNA from 1 species
GACGAACGCUGGCGGCGUGCCUAAUACAUGCAAGUCGAACGCAGUGGGGACGGGUGAGUAACACGUGGGUAACCUCCCCUCAGAGGGGAUAACACUUGGAAACAGGUGCUACACCGAUACUGAUGGAUGGACCCGCGGUGCAUUAGCUAGUUGGUGAGGUAAUGGACAACCAAGGCCACGAUGCGUAGCCGACCGGAGUGGGGGAUAGGCCAAACUGGGACGUAAACGGGACCCAGGCUACUACGGGACCAGCAGUAGGGAAUCGUCAGCAAGGGACGAAAGUCUGAGCGAGAAACGCCGCGUGAGUGAUGAAGUUAUUCGGAUCGUAAGACGCUGUUGUUAGAGAAGCGGUAUCUAACCAGAAAGCGACGGCUAACUACGUGCCAGCAGCCGCGGUAAUAC